UACAGAGGCUGCGAGCGUUAUUCGGAUUCACUGGGCGUAAAGGGUGCGCAGGCGGCCGAGUGUGUGAGGCGUGAAAGCCCGGGGCUUAACCCCGGAAUUGCACCUCAAACUACACGGCUAGAGCAUUGGAGAGGGUAGCGGAAUUCACGGUGUAGCAGUGAAAUGCGUAGAUAUCGUGAGGAACACCAGAGGCGAAGGCGGCUACCUGGACAAUUGCUGACGCUCAGGCACGAAAGCGUGGGGAGCAAAAGGG
rnacentral:rRNA from 1 species